UACCAGCACCCCGAGUGGUCGGGACGUUUAUUGGGCCUAAAGCAUCCGUAGCCGGUUCUACAAGUCUUCCGUUAAAUCCAACUGCUUAACAGGUGGGCUGCGGAAGAUACUAUAGAGCUAGGAGGCGGGAGAGGCAAGCGGUACUCGAUGGGUAGGGGUAAAAUCCUGUAUCCAUUGAAGACCACCAGUGGCGAAGGCGGCUUACCAGAACGCGCUCGACGGUGAGGGAUGAAAGCUGGGGGGAGCAAACCGG
rnacentral:rRNA from 1 species